rnacentral:rRNA from 1 species
AUUGAACGCUGGCGGCAGGCUUAACACAUGCGAGUCGAGCGAGCGGCGGACGGGUGAGUAAUGUCUGGGAAACUGCCUGAUGGAGGGGGAUAACUACUGGAAACGGUAGCUAAUACCGCAUACCAUCAGAUGUGCCCAUAUGGGAUUAGCUAGUAGGUGGGGUAAUGGCUCACCUAGGCGCCGAUCCCUAGCUGGUCUGAGAGGAUGACCAGCCAAACUGGUACGGAGACUCGGUCCAGACUCCUACGGGAGGCAGCAGUGGGGAAGAUUGAACAAUGGGCGCAAGCCUGAUGCAGCGAUGCCGCGUGUGUGAAGAAGGCCUUGGGGUUGUAAAGCACUUUCAGCGAGGAGGCGUUACUCGCAGAAGAAGCACCGGCUAACGCCGGGCCAGCAGCCGCGGUAAUAC